AAAGCUACAGAUAAACUGUGUAGCUAAUUUAUUACAAGUUUUGUUACGAACUUAUUUGUAGGAACGAGCCUCGAAUAAAUAAGUUUUAAGUGCCCUAUAUUUUCCCUUCUCUAUACAAUGAACCAAAAANAAAAAAAAAAAAAAAAAAAAAAAAAGAAAUCCCCAAACUGAAAUCUAGGUCUUCUCGACUCCGCCACAGACUCCACCGUGAAGCUCGUCGCCGUCCUCAUUUCGCAUCCAUUCCGUCAACUCUAAGCCUGAGACUGAAGACGCCAACGGAGACAACACCAAUCGGGGGAAAGAUCGAGACUGAGAUUGAGAUGGGGACCGAGUACGUGACCGCGACUGGGAGAGUGAUAGGGGUGAGAUCGAGAUUGCGAUAGGAAUAGAGACAGAGAGCGAGAGAGAGAGAGAGACCAUGAGCGUGACUGUUGAGGUUCAGAUUGUGUGAAACAAUCAAGAGUUUUAGGUUCGUCAUAUUCGUCCACGUGCACCCACCAGUGUCUGACUAUUUGGAGUUUCCAACAUGGAGCGGUUUGUGAUACUCAUAAUCAUUUCCUCAAAAAAAGAAGCUUCCAGCUUUUGGAGUAGUGGGUUCCAAGCUCUGUGAGAAAGUUUGAAUCAUGCCAAGGACCUCAGAUCAGGAGAACAUUAACAUGAAUGAAGAGUCUUGUAUCCAUCAUUAUAUAGAAGGAUGAUAGUUUAUAAGUAUUUUUUCGAGACUGGGUGAAUAAUGUUUGUUUUAUGAAAUGAUGUGUAUCUUGUGGAUGUUUAUUAUAUAUAAAUUGGAUAUUUUUCAAAUUAA